GAGAGUCGCAGAUACCAGGUGGCUGCAACUGUUUAUUAAAAACACAGCACUGUGCAAAAUCGUAAGAUGACGUAUACGGUGUGACGCCUGCCCGGUGCCGGAAGGUUAAUUGAUGGGGUUAGACUUCGGUCGAAGCUCUUGAUCGAAGCCCCGGUAAACGGCGGCCGUAACUAUAACGGUCCUAAGGUAGCGAAAUUCCUUGUCGGGUAAGUUCCGACCUGCACGAAUGGCGUAAUGAUGGCCACGCUGUCUCCACCCGAGACUCAGUGAAAUUGAAAUCGCUGUGAAGAUGCAGUGUACCCGCGGCUAGACGGAAAGACCCCGUGAACCUUUACUACAGCUUGGCACUGAACAUUGACCCUACAUGUGUAGGAUAGGUGGGAGGCUUUGAAGCACGUACGCCAGUAUGUGUGGAGCCGUCCUUGAAAUACCACCCUUGUAGUGUUGAUGUUCUAACGUCGACCCCUUAUCGGGGUUGCGGACAGUGCCUGGUGGGUAGUUUGACUGGGGCGGUCUCCUCCCAAAGAGUAACGGAGGAGCACGAAGGUGGGCUAAUCACGGUUGGACAUCGUGAGGUUAGUGCAAUGGCAUAAGCCCGCUUGACUGCGAGAAUGACAAUUCGAGCAGGUGCGAAAGCAGGUCAUAGUGAUCCGGUGGUUCUGAAUGGAAGGGCCAUCGCUCAACGGAUAAAAGGUACUCCGGGGAUAACAGGCUGAUACCGCCCAAGAGUUCAUAUCGACGGCGGUGUUUGGCACCUCGAUGUCGGCUCAUCACAUCCUGGGGCUGAAGUCGGUCCCAAGGGUAUGGCUGUUCGCCAUUUAAAGUGGUACGCGAGCUGGGUUUAGAACGUCGUGAGACAGUUCGGUCCCUAUCUGCCGUGGGCGUUGGAAGAUUGAAGGGGGCUGCUCCUAGUACGAGAGGACCGGAGUGGACGAACCUCUGGUGUUCGGGUUGUGUCGCCAGACGCAUUGCCCGGUAGCUAAGUUCGGAAUCGAUAACCGCUGAAAGCAUCUAAGCGGGAAGCGAGCCCUGAGAUGAGUCUUCCCUGAUACUUUAAGUAUCCUAAAGGGUUGUCGGAGACUACGACGUUGAUAGGUCAGGUGUGUAAGUGCUGUGAGGCAUUGAGCUAACUGAUACUAAUUGCCCGUGAGGCUUAACCA
rnacentral:rRNA from 3 species